rnacentral:rRNA from 1 species
GACGAACGCUGGCGGCGUGCCUAACACAUGCAAGUCGAACGGAGUGUUUAUUUAUAAACACUUAGUGGCGAACGGGUGAGUAACGCGUAGACAACCUACCCUCUAGAUGGGGACAACACCGCGAAAGUGGUGCUAAUACCGAAUGUUGUAAUGUUGUUACAUAAUGAUAUUACUAAAGGUGGCCUCUAUAUAAAAGCUACCGCUAGAAGAUGGGUCUGCGUCUGAUUAGCUAGUUGGUGAGAUAACAGCUCACCAAGGCAAUGAUCAGUAGCCGGUCUGAGAGGAUGAACGGCCACACUGGGACUGAGACACGGCCCAGACUCCUACGGGAGGCAGCAGUGGGGAAUCUUCCGCAAUGGACGAAAGUCUGACGGAGCAACGCCGCGUGAGUGAAGAAGGUUUUCGGAUCGUAAAGCUCUGUCUUCAAGGACGAAUGUAGAUAUUGUGAAUAAUGAUAUUUAAUGACGGUACUUGAGGAGGAAGCCACGGCUAACUACGUGCCAGCCGCCGCAGUAA